AUUGAACGCUGGCGGCAGGCCUAACACAUGCAAGUCGAGCGGAUGAGUGGAGCUUGCUCCAUGAUUCAGCGGCGGACGGGUGAGUAAUGCCUAGGAAUCUGCCUAUUAGUGGGGGACAACGUUUCGAAAGGAACGCUAAUACCGCAUACGUCCUACGGGAGAAAGCAGGGGACCUUCGGGCCUUGCGCUAAUAGAUGAGCCUAGGUCGGAUUAGCUAGUUGGUGAGGUAAUGGCUCACCAAGGCGACGAGCCGUAACUGGUCUGAGAGGAUGAUGAGUCACACUGGAACUGAGACACGGUCCAGACUCCUACGGGAGGCAGCAGUGGGGAAUAUUGGACAAUGGGCGAAAGCCUGAUCCAGCCAUGCCGCGUGUGUGAAGAAGGUCUUCGGAUUGUAAAGCACUUUAAGUUGGGAGGAAGGGUUGUACGUUAAUACCGUGCAAUUUUGACGUUACCGACAGAAUAAGCACCGGCUAACUCUGUGCCAGCAGCCGCGGUAA
rnacentral:rRNA from 1 species